AACCGACACAGGUGGUCAGGUAGAGAAUACCAAGGCGCUUGAGAGAACUCGGGUGAAGGAACUAGGCAAAAUGGUGCCGUAACUUCGGGAGAAGGCACGCUGAUAUGUAGGUGAAGUCCCUCGCGGAUGGAGCUGAAAUCAGUCGAAGAUACCAGCUGGCUGCAACUGUUUAUUAAAAACACAGCACUGUGCAAACACGAAAGUGGACGUAUACGGUGUGACGCCUGCCCGGUGCCGGAAGGUUAAUUGAUUGGGUCAGCGCAAUCUAAGCUCUUUAUCGAAGGCCACGGUUAACGUCGGCUCUGGAUGAUAACGGGCGUAUGUUAGCGAGAUUCCUUGUCGGUUACGUUCCGACCUUCACGGAAUGGCGUAAUGAUGACCAGGCUGUCACCACCCGCGACUUAGUGAAAUUGAACUCGCUGUGCAGAUGCAGUGUACCCGCGGCAAGACGGAAAGACCCUGUGAACCUUUACUAUAGCAUGACACUGAACAUUGAGCC
rnacentral:rRNA from 1 species